rnacentral:rRNA from 1 species
UACGAAGGGGGCUAGCGUUGUUCGGAAUUACUGGGCGUAAAGCGCACGUAGGCGGAUACUUAAGUCAGGGGUGAAAUCCCGGGGCUCAACCCCGGAACUGCCUUUGAUACUGGGUAUCUCGAGUCCGGAAGAGGUGAGUGGAAUUCCGAGUGUAGAGGUGGAAUUCGUAGAUAUUCGGAGGAACACCAGUGGCGAAGGCGGCUCACUGGUCCGGUACUGACGCUGAGGUGCGAAAGCGUGGGGAGCAAACAGG